UGCAGUCGAACGAGAAAGGGACUUCGGUCCUGAGUAAAGUGGCGCACGGGUGAGUAACACGUGACUAACCUACCCUUGAGUGGGGAAUAACUUCGAGAAAUCGAGGCUAAUUCCGCAUAAUACCUACGGGUCAAAGGAGCAAUUCGCUUAAGGAGGGGGUCGCGGCAGAUUAGCUAGUUGGCGGGGUAAUGGCCCACCAAGGCAGUGAUCUGUAUCCGGCCUGAGAGGGCGCACGGACACACUGGAACUGAAACACGGUCCAGACUCCUACGGGAGGCAGCAGUGGGGAAUUUUGCGCAAUGGGGGAAACCCUGACGCAGCAACGCCGCGUGGAGGAUGAAGUCUCUUGGGACGUAAACUCCUUUCGAUUGGGACGAUUAUGACGGUACCAAUAGAAGAAGCCCCGGCUAACUUCGUGCCAGCAGCCGCGGUAAUACGAGGGGGGCAAGCGUUGUUCGGAAUUAUUGGGCGUAAAGGGUGCGUAGGCGGCCCCGCAAGUCUUGUGUGAAAUCCUCAAGCUCAACUUGAGGCCUGCACGAGAAACUGCUGGGCUGGAGUAUGGGAGAGGUGAGUGGAAUUCCUGGUGUAGCGGUGAAAUGCGUAGAUAUCAGGAGGAACACCUGUGGCGAAAGCGGCUCACUGGACCAUAACUGACGCUGAGGCACGAAAGCUAGGGGAGCAAACAGGAUUAGAUACCCUGGUAGUCCUAGCCCUAAACGAUGAUCGCUUGGUGUGGCGGGUACCCAAUCCCGUCGUGCCGUAGCUAACGCGUUAAGCGAUCCGCCUGGGGAGUA
rnacentral:rRNA from 1 species